CUCUGGGAGACGUCACGAAGGCGAGACUCUGGAGAUUUUAUUUGAAUCUGUGGCGCGUAGGUAGCGGCCAGGUGCGGAGUGGAGCCGGCCUGUGGGUGGAACCCGCGUUCUCCUGGGUUGGACAUCUGAUGCGUUAGCACACUGCCUGGGAUGCCCACAUCCGCUGUUGCAGUCCUGGCUCAGCUCCUGCUUCCUGCUUCCUGCCGUGUGCACCACAGGAGGCCACAGCGCCUGCCCCUGGCUCGGCGCCUGGUGCCAACAGAACACCUUUAAGGAUCCACAGCAAUGCAGACAACGUAAAGUAGACCUGCAAGCUGCACAUUGACAAAAGUAAGGUAACUUGUAAGGUUAAUAGUGAAUCAAAAGAACUUAGCUGGGUGGAGCCGUCUUGAAACCAUAUCUUCACAGGGUCCUGUUAAGCAACUAGACAGCUGCUUCAAGCUCUGCUAGCUUGCCCUUGUGAUCCAACCAGAAAGCCCUGUCCACCCUCCCAUGGACCUAACAAGCAUGAAUGAUCCACUGUCAAAAUAGAAAGAGGAAGAACCUGGUACCCAUGUUAUGAGCCUGAAAACACUGAAGAUGGUUUUUAUUGUUACAGCAAAAUUAGUGAAGAUGGAUCUUGAGAGAGUGGACUUGUUUUUCAGAACAUAAAUUGCAUUUCCAGCUACUGAGAUCUUGUUUUGCUUCCUCCAGUACGAAUCUCUACUUUUUUUCAUGUAGUCCUAUGUCCUUAUUUGGAAAUUUAUCCC